rnacentral:sRNA from 1 species
CUAGAGGUGUUCUGUCUCCUGAACGUCAUGUUCGUACUAGAUUAUAUUUUACCAGUGAAAGUCAUGUACAUUCUUUGCUGUCUAUUCUUCGCUAUGGUGCCUUAUGCAAUGAAUCAAAGGAUGAACAGUGGAAACGAGCUAUGGAUUAUUUAAAUGUUGUCAAUGAGCUCAACUACAUGACUCAGAUUGUUAUCAUGCUUUAUGAGGAUCCUAAUAAGGAUCUUUCCUCAGAAGAACGCUUUCAUGUUGAAUUACACUUUAGUCCAGGAGCCAAAGGUUGUGAAGAAGACAAAAAUUUACCAUCUGGCUAUGGAUAUAGACCAGCUUCCAGAGAGAAUGAAGGCAGGAGACCUUCUAAAAUUGAUAAUGAUGAUGAACCACAUACUUCUAAGAGAGAUGAAGUUGAUCGAGCUGUGAUAUUGUUUAAACCAAUGGUAUCAGAGCCAAUUCAUAUACACAGGAAGUCUCCACUUCCAAGGUCUAGGAAGAUGGCUACAAAUGAUGUUGUAUCUGAAAAUGCUAAUUACCUGCGAACACCAAGAACUCUUGUGGAACAGAAGCAGAAUCCUACUGUAGGGUCUCACUGUGCGGGCCUGUUUAGCACCUCGGUGCUCGGGGGUUCUUCAAGCGCACCUAACCUACAGGAUUAUGCUCGUACUCAUCGUAAAAAGCUGACCUCUUCUGGCUGCAUAGAUGACGCCACACGCGGUUCUGCUGUUAAAAGGUUUUCUAUCUCAUUUGCUCGACACCCAACCAAUGCUGCAGCUUCUAAAGAAACCACAUGCGUAAGAACCUCUUAGAAGAAACACAGAAGUCACAAGAAAAACAGAAGCCACAAAAAUUCUAAGAAGAGACAUUGAAGGUUUAAGACCAUAGUUUUUGUACUGGAUGCUGUGUGUUUAAAACCAGUAUUUGAGGUAUUAUCAUCUAGGAGAAUCUGUGUUUAACUGAAGGUUUUUAAAAAUGAAAAAUAUUUAUGUUAAAUUUAAUAGAAAAUAGAGUAAUUUUAUAUUCCUUUGGUUUAGGCUCUUUUUUAAAAAUGUGGAUUUCCCGCACAUACAAA